GCGCGAUUAGCUCAGCGGGAGAGCGCUUCCCUGACACGGAAGAGGUCACUGGGUCAAUCCCAGUAUCGCGCACCA
rnacentral:tRNA from 1 species